rnacentral:lncRNA from 1 species
CUAAUACUGGUUGAAAGCCCUUUAAUUUUUCAGUGACAUCAUAAAGAUUUUUUAUCCUACUGAAAUCAUCCAUAGAAUGGUUUUAAACCAGUUUUCUAAAUAUCAUGUAUUUUUUAAAACCUACCACUGGAUACCCAGACUCUGAAACUGGGCUUCUCCCAAUCUUGGCAACAUUAGCAAUGAUACUCACUUUCAGUAUUGAUGGCAACCCUAUAGGAGGCGUGACCAUUCCAAUUUUGAUUUUAUUUUUAAAGUGUGAACUUUCCAGAACCCUGAGCAAAAUGAGUGCAGCGAUUUUCUUUUUGUAGGACAAGAAGACAGAAGAGUUCUUCUCUGUGGUGACUACAGACUAGAGGAAUGCUCUACAGGUGCAACAGGUUCAGGUGUUUGCUGACGUCCAGUGUACAGUGAAUCUGGUAGGCGGGGACCCUUACCUGAACCAGCCUGGUCCACUGGGAACUCAAAAGCCCACGUCAGGACCACAGACCCCCCAGGCCCAGCAGAAGAGCCUCCUUCAGCAGCUACUGACUGAA